CUCUCUUCUACUGGCUUCUGGUUUUCUUUAAAAUGUGGGUUUUGGGCUCUUCUUGGUUCUCAGCUCUGGGUCCUGGUCACUAGCUUCUGCUAAAGCAAAAGUCUCAGCACCCAGGGCAGCAGAUGGGCUUAUAUAAGUGGGUGACUUGCCCACGGUCACAUGGGGUACUCUCAUCAGAUUGGGGACCAGCUUCCCUUCUCUGGAUUCCCAGACAGGGACAAUCCCUCCAUCAUUCCCUCUUGUCCUGACAUUUAGGGAUACAAAAGAUGACUUGGGGCAAGGAUUUGAGUGCAAGUGGUUUUUCUGGGCGAUGCUUUCAGAAAGCAACAUGACCAUGUGAGGCAGGGGAAGGAAAAGGAAGAAAGCCCACAAAGGGUAUGUUUGUGAAAGAGUUACCAUCAGAGACAACAGGGACUCAAGCCAACAGGGGAUUCUGUAGGGACUGCACAGGACACACCUCAGAAUCGCCAGGCACGGGCUGAGGAAGCUAGGGUGUUUGCCCACCAGCCCUACACCUUAUUGGCUGAGGCAGCUCCUGGAGGCCUUCAUAGCAUGGUGACUCAGGGCUGCCCCGUAGGCCAGGUGCCCUCCCGCCAAAAGAAGCCACCUGCGUACAAAGUGACCACGGAGGCUUCAGUUCCCUCCCUCCAUGGGCUGAGAGGUGACAGGCGGGGCACAGAGGUGUCUGCCACAAGACCACUCUCCAGCCAUCCCUUUAGAGUCUCAAUAAAAACAAAACCAGACCGGGAGUGGAGUGGGGACAUCACGGCUUACCACACAGCCCUGUCUUUGAUUAACUCCUUAUGCCUCGAUCCUAAGUGUAUGCUCGCUGGAUUUUCCACAGAUCAAACAGAGUCAUGAAGGUGGCACUCAGAUCAAGAAGCAGAACCCAACCAGCCCCCUGAAAAUCGCCGUGGUGGUCCCUUCUUGUUGCCACCUCCUUGAGGGGAACUGGACCUGCUCCUAACUUCUAACAGCAAGAGAUUCGUUUUGCCCUACUUUAGGACUUCCUAAAAAACAGACUCCUCCGUGUGUAAACUUUUGGGCCUGACUUGCACUCAGAGCUGUGUGGUGAGCUGUUGUUGCUCGUGGCCAGAAAUCGUGUGUUUGCCCUGCUGUGGCGGGAUCCAGCUGUGUGAACACACGACGACCCGCAUAUUCAUACCGCUGCUGCCAGACAUCCGAGUGGUUUCCAGCUGGGGCAGUUAUGGACGGUGCUGCUCUAGGGACUGUCUUGUCCGGACUUCUGGGGGACACAUGCUCUCCCCCUCUUGAGGCAAAACUCAAGAGUGGAAUUUCUGGAUCAUAGUAUGCGCAUGUGAUCAGCUUUAGUGAAUCCCACCAAAUAGUUUCCUAAAAUGAUGGGACCAUGUGAACCCCCCCACCCCCACCCCUGCGGGCGGACAAAAAUUCCGGUUGCUACACUUCCUUGCCCACACUUGGUCUUCCCAUUGUUUUCCUUCUGUGACUUCAUGGCUUUUUUUACAGUCUCCAUGGGGGGCCACUCCCACCCCCAGCCGUUGCCCACAUUUCAAUGAUGAGAAGACUGGAGUCUCAGAGAGGGGAGUCCCUCACCCCACAUCGCACAGCUUGCGGCAGGCUGGGAACUUAAGUCAGAGUUCUAGCAGAUUUUCAGAUGGGAAGUGCUCAUGUCAUGGUCUCCGGGGUCCUGAGAUCGAGCCCGGCCAUGGCUGGUGUUCAGUGCUGACUGAACAUCCCCAGGACUGAGGCCAGCGGGUAGGUGGUGAGCACAUGAAGAACGAGCCUUCGGACACAGGACUGGUGGGAGAAGACUUGGACAUGUCUCUGGGAGUGUCCUUGGAUAGUUGUAUAUCCAAAUCACUUGAAAACAUACAUGCCCUUUGCCCUGGAAACUUCUUGGAGGUGGACAAACGUCUGCAUACAUAGAUUCAAGGAUGUCUUUCAAACCGGUUUUUAUAAUAAAGGAAACUAGGAAUGAUCAGCGAGGGCUCAGUAAAUCAUGGUGAUGGUAGACUGUGGAAUAUUCUGUUGACAGUGAUCCUGUGGGUCCAUUAUUGAUGUAGAAAAAUGGUGACAAUAUAUCACAUUAAAAUGGAGCAGAAGGGGCGCCUGGGUGGCUCAGUGGGUUAAAGCCUCUGCCUUCGGCUCAGGUUAUGAUCCCAGGGUCCUGGGAUUGAGCUCCGCAUCGGGCUCUCUGCUCAGCAGGGAGCCUGCUUCCUUCUCUCUCUCCGCCUGCUUCUCUGCCUACUUGUGAUCUCUGUCUGUCAAAUAAAUUUAAAAAAUCUAAAAAAAAUAAAAAAAUAA